UGCAAGUCGAACGCACUAGUUUACUAGUGAGUGGCGAACGGGUGAGUAACACGUAGGUAAUCUGCCCUUAAGACGAGGAUAACCGUUGGAAACGAUGGCUAAGACUGGAUAGGAAUAUUUAAGGCAUCUUAGAUAUUUUAAAAGACACUUGUGUAUGCUUAAGGAGGAACCCGCGGCGCAUUAGUUAGUUGGUGAGGUAACGGCUCACCAAGACGAUGAUGCGUAGCCGGACUGAGAGGUUGAACGGCCACAUUGGAACUGAGAAACGGUCCAAACUCCUACGGGAGGCAGCAGUAGGGAAUUUUCGGCAAUGGAGGAAACUCUGACCGAGCAACGCCGCGUGAAUGACGAAGUACUUCGGUAUGUAAAGUUCUUUUAUCAGGGAAGAAUGACUCGUGGGAAAACGAGUGUGACGGUACCUGAUGAAUAAGCCCCGGCUAACUAUGUGCCAGCAGCCGCGGUAAUACAUAGGGGGCAAGCGUUAUCCGGAAUUAUUGGGCGUAAAGGGUGCGUAGGCGGCUAUUUAAGUCUAAGGUGUAAGUGCAGUGCUUAACGCUGUGAUGCUUUAGAAACUGGGUAGCUUGAGUGUGGUAGAGGUAAGUGGAAUUCCAUGUGUAGCGGUAAAAUGCGUAAAUAUAUGGAGGAACACCAGUGGCGAAGGCGGCUUACUGGGCCACAACUGACGCUGAGGCACGAAAGCGUGGGGAGCAAACAGGAUUAGAUACCCUGGUAGAAGGGC
rnacentral:rRNA from 1 species